CCACUUACCUGGCAGUAGAGAUACCAUGAUUAGGAAGGUGGUUUUCCCAGCGCAAGACUUACCCAUUGCACUCAAAUAUGCUGACCCCUGUAAUUGUCCCAAAGGCGAGAAACUUGACCGCAUAAUUUGGGGUGGAGGGGCUACAUUCGUGCUCUCCCCCA